CAUGAGACUAGAACCUGAGACAACUGACAUUCCCACAUCACCAACCUGAGCCCAUGCAGAGUUGUAUCUAAGGAGAUUAGGCACUGCAGGAAGUACCACCUGAAGGGUCAAGAGUGACAGCACUCUGAGGCCCUCUGAUUGGCCAGCCACAUUAUUUCACCCAGGAGGCUACCCCAGGAAGUUAUCUUGGCAACAACACAGAUUUCUGGCCUGCUGUGACUCCAGACUGCAGCUUGCUUUCUGAUCUCCAGUCUGUGACUCCAGUCUGACUCUGACCCUUGUCUCCUGAUUCCAGCCUGGUAACUACUUCUGGUCUCUGCUCUCUGACCUUGGCCUGAGUCUGACUCUUGCUUAGUGAUCCUGGCUAUAAUUACAGAAAAGUUUGUGGUGCACUAGCUCCCCAAGUACCAAGAUGUCUCAAGACCCUUUGAUCCUCAGCUAUCAAGAAAAAUCACCAUCCAGCCUCUAGUGCAUUGUUCAUCCUAUUAAUAAACAUCUGGCAAACACAAGACACUAGUGACAAAGUUAUUCAGACUGAAUAUGGAAUGAGACUAAUCAUUACUUGUAAAAAUCCUGC